CGUGUCGUGAGAUGUUGGGUUAAGUCCCGCAACGAGCGCAACCCUUGCCCUGUUUUGCCAUCAUUCAGUUGGGAACUAUCAGGGGACCGCCAGCGAUAAGUUGGAGGAAGGUGGGGAUGACGUCNAGUCAUCAUGGCCUUUAUGUCCAGGGCUACACACGUGCUACAAUGGACGGUACAAAGCGCAGCUAACCCGCGAGGGGGCGCAAAUCGCAAAAAACCGUUCUCAGUUCGGAUCGCAGGCUGCAACUCGCCUGCGUGAAGCUGGAAUCGCUAGUAAUGGCAUAUCAGAACGAUGCCGUGAAUACGUUCCCGGGCCUC
rnacentral:rRNA from 1 species